GACAGAGGGUGCAAACGUUGCUCGGAAUCACUGGGCGUAAAGGGCGUGUAGGCGGGAAGGAAAGUCAGAUGUGAAAUCCCUGGGCUCAACCCAGGAACUGCAUUUGAAACUCCCCUUUCUUGAGUGUCGGAGAGGAAAGUGGAAUUCCUGGUGUAGAGGUGAAAUUCGUAGAUAUCAGGAGGAACACCGGUGGCGAAGGCGGCUUUCUGGACGACAACUGACGCUGGAGACGCGAAAGCGUUGGGGAGCAAACAGG
rnacentral:rRNA from 1 species